rnacentral:rRNA from 1 species
CCUACGGGAGGCUGCAGUAAGGAAUAUUGGUCAAUGGGCGCAAGCCUGAACCAGCCAUGCCGCGUGCAGGAAGACGGCCUACGGGUUGUAAACUGCUUUUAUACGGGAAUAUGUACUGUAAGAAUAAGGAUCGGCUAACUCCGUGCCAGCAGCCGCGGUAAUACGGAGGAUCCAAGCGUUAUCCGGAUUUAUUGGGUUUAAAGGGUGCGUAGGCGGCCUAUUAAGUCAGGGGUGAAAGACGGUAGCUUAACUAUCGCAGUGCCUUUGAUACUGAUGGGCUUGAAUAUACUAGAAGUAGGCGGAAUGUGACAAGUAGCGGUGAAAUGCAUAGAUAUGUCACAGAACACCGAUUGCGAAGGCAGCUUACUAUGGAUAUUGACGCUGAGGCACGAAAGCGUGGGGAUCAAACAGGAUUAGAUACCCUUGUAGUC